AAAAAAAACGCUGCAAAUAAAAAAGCCACAAUUGAAGUGAAUUACCGGGGACUAUUGCCGAUGCACAUGCGGUUUUUUAUGCAAGAGAAGAAGAAGGCAGGGGGAUCUCCAGGAAUCAUCUCAUGGGCAAUGUAUUGUCUAUAUUGUAGGACUGGUGGGUGUUUUGGGAGGUUUUGCGGCUCCUGUGGCAGCAACAUUGAAUGUUUGGCACCCUUUCUUGAAGAUGUCACAGAAUCUAAUGAAGGAAUCGAGGCAGGCCUCAUCCACAAGUACUUCACGGAGGGACACGCUUAUGAAGGGGUCCUUGAUUUUCUAGAUAAAAGACACAACAUUUGUCUUAGUCUGAGGACCUUAAAGAGGAGGCUACAGAAAGCUGGCCUAACAAGAACGACAGACUACACUCCCAUUGGCACUGUGCACCAAACUGUUGCACAUGAACUGAGAGGCUCGGGUCGGCUGUUGGGUUACAGAGCUAUGUGGCAGACUUUGCAUCAAAAGUAUCACCUGACAGUAAAAAGAGAGGAUGUUAGACAGACGAUUUCCAGACUGGAUCCAUCUGAACUGAGAACUGACUCAAUGGAGUUUUAGUUGCUUAUCUAGCAUGUUUGGGGGGUUAAAUGAUCAAUUUGUAAUCACUUGACUCAUUAUGUUUCAAUGUAUGACUGGUCUUAGGUUUGGUGGAACGGAGUGUGGAUUUCCAGUGUCCUGGGAAGCCCUACACCACUUUGAUGGCAUCAUGCAAGCCCAGUACAGUUUGUGUGGUGAUGAGAAUCUGGAGAUGCAUUUUGUGGACUUGCAAAGACGAAGUGGGUUGGCUCCACCAGUGAACUGGACAGCUGCUGUUCAGAAUUACAUUUCCAUGAAAAACAUGUCUGGACUGUAGAAUACAUUGUCCCCCCAGAGCCUUUUUUUUGUGUAAAUGAUUCCAACGUAGGUUGAAAAUAAUUUAGAAUGCUGCAAUUCUGAGUAGAUAAGUCCAGUGAAAUAUUCAGCUUGUAUCUUUGCGUAAGUCAUAAGAAACCUUUCUUUGUUUAAAUAAACAUACAGCAUAUUCAUGUAUUUUGUAAAACAUGUUUAGUGUUACAUCCGUGUUAUCAGUUGAAUGGUUGAUCGUCAGAAAAUUAUGCACCUAAUAUUUUGGUAAUUGAUUUUAAUGUUGUUUUGAAUAUAAGCAGGUUCCAGCCUCUAAAAUGUGAAUAUUUGCUGGAUUAAUUUGUUCUCUGAGGCUUCACUUUCUGACAUUUUAAAGACCAUGGGCGUCUCCGAAAUCACUCACUCAUUCACUACUCCCUACACACUAUAUAGGGAAUUCUAUAUAGUGUGUAGGGAGUGAUUUUGGACAGAGCCCAUAACAAAUUGAUGAAUCAACAAUAACAUUCAUUCAUUGCAUCAGUCACAUAUGCUACUGUUAUUUCUGUUUUCACAGUGGAUCUGAGAGUAAAAUCUCAUGAACCAGCUACAUCCUUGUCAUCUUUGUAGCGUGUGUAACAUAUACAGUAUGCUGUACGUAGAAAACAAGUACUUACGUUAAAAUGAAACACUCUCAAACCAUUUAAUGAAGAGUCAUUCAGCUUUACUCUUGAAAAAAGUCCAUGUAAAAACAUGUUGAUAAAACUGACUGUGUGUGGCAUCAUUAACUUUUACCACAAGUUAUUUAAUUGUUUAAAGGCACCCAAAGCAGAGGGAAUUCUUAAUGCCAAAGUUCAUGUUGGCUUUGAAGGCACCAUAAGUGUCCAAAAGAGGAAGCUUUAAAAUGUUGGCACAGGUAUUUGCCAUUGGGAAUUUUGACGUUG